CGCUGGCGGCGUGCUUAACACAUGCAAGUCGAGCGAUGAAGCUCUUCGGGAGUGGAUUAGCGGCGGACGGGUGAGUAACACGUGGGUAACCUGCCUCAUAGAGGGGAAUAGCCUUCCGAAAGGAAGAUUAAUACCGCAUAAGAUUGUAAUAUCGCAUGAUAUAGCAAUUAAAGGAGCAAUCCGCUAUGAGAUGGACCCCGCGUCGCAUUAGCUAGUUGGUGAGGUAACGGCUCACCAAGGCGACGAUGCGUAGCCGACCUGAGAGGGUGAUCGGCCACAUUGGGACUGAGACACGGCCCAGACUCCUACGGGAGGCAGCAGUGGGGAAUAUUGCACAAUGGGGGAAACCCUGAUGCAAGCAACGCCGCGUGAGUGAUGACGGUCUUCGGAUUGUAAAGCUCUGUCUUCAGGGACGAUAAUGACGGUACCUGAGGAGGAAGCCACGGCUAACUACGUGCCAGCCGCGGC
rnacentral:rRNA from 1 species